CAACUUCGAUUGGUUCGUUGUAUCCGUGCUUCUUUUCCUAUUCGAAAUAGUGAAUGUCUAUCACGCCCCUCGCAGCACUUUUGAUUGGGCAAAGUCGAUGUCAAUCAUCUGCCCCUCCCUGCGGCAUUUGAUUUAAAGACCCUGACAAAACUCAAGCUGGACAUCGGAAAAUGGGUUAUUGGAAAUACUCCUGAAAGCGCAAACAUGAGAAAAUCUGCAGAUGCUGGAAAUUCAAACAACAACACACACAAAAUGCUGGUGGAACACAGCAGGCCAGGCAGCAUCUAGAGGGAGAAGCACUGUCAACGUUUCGGGCCAAGACCCUUUGCCAGGACUAACCGAAAAGAAAGGUAUUAACAGAUUUGAAAAAUACUUCUGAAAUCUCAUUUUAUUAUUUAACCCUUGGAGUCAAAGCUUCUUUUUGGUAUACAUCACAACUACUCCAAGGGGAGAAAAUCCCUCCUCGGGUGCAAUGCUUUAACUGCUAAUAAUAUUGCAGCUGUAAGCUAAUUAAGUCUUUUCAAAGUUGUAUCAAGAAUUCACGUACAAGUGCUAAAUUUCCAUUUUUUUAAAUUAUUUCCAGCAUUUGAGUGUAACAUUUUAGUGAUCUGUGUAUAUAAACUUUUGAGUGCCUUGUCUAUGCCAUUGCAUAUAUCCUUCUACAAAGCAAUAGAAUAUUACUCUUUGUCCAAAACAUUAAUUGUUUAUUCCCCUCCAAGUUGUUUAGAUCCAUCAGUAUAUUGUGUGUUCCAGCACCGUGUGUUUAUAGAACACCUUUACCUUGCUCCAAAGUGAUAAGCAGAGUUUUCUUUAUUUUCUUAAUCUGUCAAUGUUUCUUUGUAACUUUUACCUUCUAUUUGCAUUGUUAUCUAAGCAAUUAAAUGAUGAAUGAAUAGUUAAAAACUCAACAACAGGACCUCUUUGGAAGACUGUCAGAGUUUUCAUAAAGCACAAGAAGACAUUCUGAAAAUGCUAGAAAUCCAGAGUAACACACACAAUAUGCUGGUGGAGCUCAGCAUGUAGGCAUCAUUUAGGGAGAGGAAUAAACAAUCAAUAUUUUAGACCCAAACCCUUCAUCAGGACUGGAAAGAAAUGGG